GGACGAACGCUGGCGGCGUGCUUAACACAUGCAAGUCGAACGGGAUCCAAGCGAGCUUGCUUGUUUGGUGAGAGUGGCGAACGGGUGAGUAACACGUGAGUAACCUGCCCCCUUCUUUGGGAUAACGACCAGAAAUGGUUGCUAAUACUGAAUAUUYACGCAUGAUCGCAUGGUUGUGUGUGGAAAGGUUUUUCUGGUGGGGGAUGGGCUCGCGGCCUAUCAGCUUGUUGGUGGGGUGAUGGCCUACCAAGGCUUUGACGGGUAGCCGGCCUGAGAGGGUGACCGGUCACACUGGGACUGAGAUACGGCCCAGACUCCUACGGGAGGCAGCAGUGGGGAAUAUUGCACAAUGGGCGAAAGCCUGAUGCAGCGACGCCGCGUGAGGGAUGACGGCCUUCGGGUUGUAAACCUCUUUCAGUAAGGACGCAGGCCUAGGCUUUUGUUUGGGUUGACUUUACUUACAGAAGAAGCGCCGGCUAACUACGU
rnacentral:rRNA from 1 species